rnacentral:lncRNA from 1 species
AAUCUUUUUAAAGUUGCGUGUUGUAUCACAAGAUGUGAAAUUGAGCCUUCAAGAAUUGGAUGAACUUUAUGUCAUCUUUAAGGUACUGUUGUUCUUCUUUAAAUGAAAAAUAAUGCUUUUUUUUAGCAGAAUUGUAUCACAGCCAUUCUAAUUAUUUUUAUCUUUAUUUUAGCAGACAUGGUUUUUAAAAUCUUCCAAAAUUACUUUUUCUAAUUAGUAACUUUCCUUUUUUAUUUAUUUUUAAUAGAAAGAGCUGUUUUUAUCUUGUUAUUGGUGUUUGGGUUGCCCAGUAUUGAAGCAUCAUGACCCCAGUCUGCCAUAUUUGGAACAGUAUCAGAUUGACUGCCAGCAGUUCAGAGCGUUGUAUCACUUGUUGAGUCCCUGGGCUCAUUCUGCAAAUAAAGACUCACUAGCUUUAUGGACAUUCAGAUUGUUAGAUGAAAACUCUGAUUGCCUUAUAAACUUCAAAGAAUUCUCCUCUGCAAUUGACAUAAUGUACAAUGGAAGUUUUACUGAGAAGCUUAAGCUGCUUUUUAAGCUACAUAUUCCUCCAG